GGCUACGUAGCUCAGCCGGUGAGAGCGCACGACUCAUAAUCGUGAGGUCGGUGGUUCGAUCCCACCCGUAGCCACCA
rnacentral:tRNA from 4 species